AGUACACGAGCAACGGAAGUUAAAAAAUCGGGCAAGAUUGAACGCAAAGGCAAGCGGGACAUUUGAGGAUGGGGUGACUGCGUACCUUUUGUAUAAUGGGUCAGCGACUUAUAUUCUGUAGCAAGGUUAACCGCAUAGGGGAGCCGUAGGGAAACCGAGUCUUAACUGGGCGAAUGAGUUGCAGGGUAUAGACCCGAAACCCGGUGAUCUAUCCAUGGGCAGGUUGAAGGUUGGGUAACACUAACUGGAGGACCGAACCGACUAAUGUUGAAAAAUUAGCGGAUGACUUGUGGAUGGGGGUGAAAGGCCAAUCAAACCGGGAGAUAGCUGGUUCUCCCCGAAAGCUAUUUAGGUAGCGCCUCGUGAACUCAUCUUCGGGGGUAGAGCACUGUUUCGACUAGGGGGUCAUCCCGACUUACCAACUCGAUGCAAACUGCGAAUACCGAAGAAUGUUAUCACGGGAGACACACGGCGGGUGCUAACGUCCGUCGUGAAGAGGGAAACAACCCAGACCGCCAGCUAAGGUCCCAAAGUCAUGGUUAAGUGGGAAACGAAGUGGGAAGGCUCAGACAGCCAGGAUGUUGGCUUAGAAGCAGCCAUCAUUUAAAGAAAGCGUAAUAGCUCACUGGUCGAGUCGGCCCGCGCGGAAGAUGUAACGGGGCUAAACCAUGCACCGAAGCUGCGGCAGCGACACAAAGUGUUGUUGGGUAGGGGAGCGUUCUGUAAGCCUGCGAAGGUGUACUGUGAGGUAUGCUGGAGGUAUCAGAAGUGCGAAUGCUGACAUAAGUAACGAUAAUGCGGGUGAAAAACCCGCACGCCGGAAGACCAAGGGUUCCUGUCCAACGUUAAUCGGGGCAGGGUGAGUCGACCCCUAAGGCGAGGCUGAAAAGCGUAGUCGAUGGGAAACGGGUUAAUAUUCCCGUACUGGUGGUAACUGCGAUGGGGGAACGGAGAAGGCUAGGUUGUCCGGGCGACGGUCGUCCCGGUUCAAGCAGGUAGGCAGAGUGAUUAGGCAAAUCCGGUCACUUAAUGCUGAGAUGUGAUGACGAACCACCAAGGUGGUGAAGCAAUUGAUGCCCCGCUUCCAGGAAAAGCCUCUAAGCUUCAGGUUACCAACAAUCGUACCCCAAACCGACACAGGUGGUCAGGUAGAGAAUACUCAGGCGCUUGAGAGAACUCGGGUGAAGGAACUAGGCAAAAUGGUGCCGUAACUUCGGGAGAAGGCACGCUGGCGGUAGGUAAAGUCCCUUGCGGACGGCGCUGAAGCCAGUCGAAGAUACCAGCUGGCUGCAACUGUUUAUUAAAAACACAGCACUGUGCAAACACGAAAGUGGACGUAUACGGUGUGACGCCUGCCCGGUGCUGGAAGGUUAAUUGAUGGGGUUAGCGUAAGCGAAGCUCCUGAUCGAAGCCCCAGUAAACGGCGGCCGUAACUAUAACGGUCCUAAGGUAGCGAAAUUCCUUGUCGGGUAAGUUCCGACCUGCACGAAUGGCGUAAUGAUGGCCAGGCUGUCUCCACCCGAGACUCAGUGAAAUUGAACUCGCUGUGAAGAUGCAGUGUACCCGCGGCAAGACGGAAAGACCCCGUGAACCUUUACUAUAGCUUGACACUGAACAUUGAGCCUUGAUGUGUAGGAUAGGUGGGAGGCUUUGAAGUGUGGACGCCAGUCUGCAUGGAGCCAACCUUGAAAUACCACCCUUUAACGUUUGAUGUUCUAACCUAGGCCCAUAAACUGGGUCGGGGACCGUGUCUGGUGGGUAGUUUGACUGGGGCGGUCUCCUCCUAAAGAGUAACGGAGGAGCACGAAGGUUGGCUAAGCAUGGUCGGACAUCAUGCGGUUAGUGCAAAGGCAUAAGCCAGCUUGACUGCGAGAGUGACGGCUCGAGCAGGUACGAAAGUAGGUCUUAGUGAUCCGGUGGUUCUGAAUGGAAGGGCCAUCGCUCAACGGAUAAAAGGUACUCCGGGGAUAACAGGCUGAUACCGCCCAAGAGUUCAUAUCGACGGCGGUGUUUGGCACCUCGAUGUCGGCUCAUCACAUCCUGGGGCUGAAGUAGGUCCCAAGGGUAUGGCUGUUCGCCAUUUAAAGUGGUACGCGAGCUGGGUUUAGAACGUCGUGAGACAGUUCGGUCCCUAUCUGCCGUGGGCGUUGGAAGAUUGAGAGGGGUUGCUCCUAGUACGAGAGGACCGGAGUGAACGCACCACUGGUGUUCGGGUUGUCAUGCCAAUGGCAUUGCCCGGUAGCUAAGUGCGGAAGAGAUAACCGCUGAAAGCAUCUAAGCGGGAAACUUGCCUCGAGAUGAGUCUUCCCUGUCGCUUUAAGUGACCUAAAGGAACGUUUAAGACUAAGACGUUGAUAGGCUGGGUGUGUAAGCGUAGCGAUACGUUGAGCUAACCAGUACUAAUGAACCGUGAGGCUUAACCU
rnacentral:rRNA from 2 species